AAGAGAGAGAGAGGGAGAGAGAGAGAGAGAGAGAGAGGAGAGAGAGGAGAGAGAGAGAGAGGGGGAGAAAGCUCACCAGAAGUCCUCGCCGGAGCCACCACAUGCCAGACCGUUGAGCUCGCCACCAGCAUCAUCCGCAACCAAAGGUAACCGGAAACCGCCAUAUUUUUGAGUUUAGUUUCGGCCGUUUUAGUAAAUCAACCGUAACUUCUUAACCGUUGCGAAUCUCGUGCAUCCAAGCCCAUCAUCGUGUUCCUCUCGUCGAGACGAAGCCGUAGACACCAAGCACGCCUCAAACGGAGCCCGGACGAAGCCGUACGCGCCUCCAGAAAACCGCCCUUCGCGCGCGCGUGAAACGCACGCGCCGCCGCCAGAAAUCGUCGCCACCGCAGCUCCGCCGCCGGACCACCGUCCGCCGCCGCAGCUCCGCCGUCGCCGCCGGCCAACUUUCCGAUUUGGAGUCCAUUUGAGCAGCUGGAGUUCAUAGAUAUCACUUAUUAUUGCUAAGGUGAGACAAACAAGUAUGUGAUAUUUGGACGGACUUGGUGCUAUUGGACUUUUCUUUCGGAUUUUAUUUGGGCAUGGGUGAGAGUUGUCGGGUUUAUGGGCUUUUAUAUUACGGGAUAUUGUUGGUGGCCCGUCGUCCUUAGUGUCAGGGAGACGGGUAUCACAUUGUUGUAUGAUGACGCGUCGGGGGUGACACGCUGUCCUCCAUAUAGGAGGUGACGGGUGUCACAAUUUGGUAUCAGAGCGGGUUCCAUCCCGGUUCCGUCCGGGAUGGCGGUCAGGGGAUUCGGUUUUCAUCGGUUUUCAACUUUAAAAAAAAAAAAAAAAAACUAUAUAUUUAUUUAUACAUUUCGAAAUUCUUUUAGCACCAUUCUGUCCAGUAAUUACUAACUCAAAUGUCUCUUUCUAUGACGAUGAGUAAAAUCAUCGUCAUUAGUCCUUCGACUAACAAGGUUCUCGACAGAUGUUCAGCAGUUGCGUGAAGUCCAAGUUUGUCAGUUUUCUCUGGAGUUAUCAGUUUCUUCGUUCAUGAUUCGAGGCUAUCCAGGAGUGAAUAUGUGACGUUUCUGCCACCAGCCCACUUCAAGCAAUCGUUCCACGAGUUUUGUUACUGGAGAUUAUGUGGUGUGUGGUAUGAGCCAUUGGUUGGCAUGUGUUGUUGUGUGUACGAGUAUAUUGACUAUUUUGGAGAUAUAUUUUUUUUGUGAACUCGUGGAGAUCGCUUUUGAAUUGGGGUGCAGCAGCUUGCGUUGUGUGGGUGUUGGAGUUACACUUUGGUAUGUUUACCAAUUUUGGCAGUCUUGAUCGUUUCAGAGAUGUGUCAGUUUGGACAACUGACAUAGGACAUUGGGAGCUAUUUAUAUCCAUCGCAGUGUACCAGUUAUGCUUGGAGGGCCGAUUUGUUCGGAUAUUCAUCAGAGAUGGAGCUACGUUUUUACGAUGUUAUCCUUGGGACGGAUUGAUUGUCACGGCAUCAAGUAGUGUUGGAUUGCCUGAGGGCAAGAGUUCCGAUUGCUGGAGCAGAUGGAAGUUGUUAGUGCAUGCAUGCUACAUACUGAGGAGUUAUGGGAUACAAGGACAUAGAGAUUUUUUUGACUACCAACUCGAUGGUUAAGGCUGAUGGACAACAUGAGCUACAGGAUCUUCCGGUUAUUGCAUAGUAUGAGGAUAUAUUUGUGACCUUUGGAACGGUCACCACAUGACACAUGAGAAACUCUUGCGAUUUGUUUGGAGCAAACAACACCAGUUUCACAAGUUUUAUACCGAUUAGCACCAACAGAGAUGACAAAGCUGAAAGAGCAUGUUGAAGAUUCAUAAGACAAGGGUUUUAUCAGACCGGGUACUUUACCGUGGGGAACAUCAUCAUUGUUGUUGUAAAGAAGAAAGGUGGGAGUUUCAAUUUUGUAUCGACUGCAAAGGUCUGAACAAAGUGACCAUUAAAGAUAAGUAUCGCUUCCGCGCGUUGAUGAAUUAUUGGAUUAUUUAUAGGAAGUUUAUAGUUCUUGAAGGUUGACAUGGCAUCAGAACACCAUCAGAUUACUAUAUUUGAAGAGUAUCUACUGAAUGUGAAUUUUUGUAUACAUUAUGGAUAUUAUGGGACGCAGUGAUACCAUUUGGCUCGACAAAGGCACUGUUGCAUUCAUGAAGAUAUGAAUGACGUUUUCGUGAACAUUUGGAUAGGUGUGCGAUUGUAUUCAUCGAUGACAUCCUGAUUUAUUUUGGAGUAGAAAGGAGAUUUGUGAGCAUUUCGCGGAUUGCGUUGGAUAAGCCUGGAAAGCAUCAGUUGUUCGCUAAGUUUAGGAAGUGUAGCUUCUGGCAGAGGAAUGUUGUAUUUUUGGAUAACAUGGUUUUGGAAGCAGAAUUUUGAUGGAUUCAAAGAAGAUUAAUACCGUUUCGGGAAGGUCGAAACCUAAGAGCGCUACAAAGAUCUGCCGUUCUUUUUGGGUUAAUAGUGUACUACUGGAAGUUCAUCAAGGGUUUCACCGGUAUAGUAAUGUUAAAGACGCGGUCUACAUGUAAAGACGUUAAGUGUGGUUGGAUAGAUUUUUGUUCGAGGAGUUUCACUGAAUUGAAGCACAACUAAUGAAGACACCAGUUUUGGGUUCUACUGAGGCUGAGGCUUACUGUGAUGUGUCAGAUACUGGAUUGGAUUUAAAUUAAGGUAUGAGGAUUAAGUCAUUCAUAUGCAUCACGCCAGAGAGGCUGUAGUGGUAUUUGCGUUAUCGUUUUGGAGAUCGUAAUUGUACGGGAAGGAAGUUCAGAUUCUCUGGGAUUAUUAGAAUGUGAAAUUUAUCUUCAUUUAUUAAAAACUUGUACUUGGACAGUGCAGUUGGAUUGAGUUUGUAGCAGGCUAUAGUCUGGAUAUCGCAUACUAUCUGGUAAGGACAACCAGGUGAUAAAUGCCUUGGGUAGGCGUAUGAGCUGUAUCUCAGGAACCAAGAAGGUUCAUGAGUUGGAGAUUUGCUAGUCUCAGGUUGGGUGCCAUUACUAUCAAUGGAGAGACAGAUGUCCUUGGGACUUUGGAGCAGGCAGUUUUGCUAUGGAGGAUACACAAGCACAAGUUAGCAUUCUGGAUUGGUUGAACAGAUCGAGAUUGGGAGUAUUGGAUAUCAUACAGCUUUGAGCAGGAUAUACUUGUACUGAAACCGAGUUUGUGUGUUGGACGAUAAGUUGUUAAGAAAAGGAAUCUUACAACAAACAUAUCACUCGUGUUUCUCUACCCAUCGGGAAGACCAAAGGGUACAAAGAUAUGAAGAGUUAACUAUAAUUGGUGUAGUAUGAAGAUGUUUGUAACUACAUUACGUCGCGGUGCCAGACGUGUUAUAUGGCAAUGACAGAGGAUCAGUCAUCUAUCAUGUUAUUUUUGAGCUUGCUUUUGCCGGAGUAGAAAUGAGGCAUGGUGAUUAUGGACAUUGUUAUUGGAUUUUAAAUCACCAUAUGUGGAAAGGAUGCCACAUUGGUAGUCAUGGAUAGACUUACCAAGUCAGCCCAUUUCCUAAGUAAUUAAGAAGAUAAUCAGGGCUAAUCAAUUGGAGCAGACCUACAUUAUUGAGUUUGGGAAGUUUCAUGGAUGUCAACAUUGUAUCGGAUUGGGAAUCGAAGUUCACAUCUACAUUUCAGAGAGUCUUUCGGAAGGCACUUGGGACAAAGAUCAUAUGGGUACAUCUUAUCACCCGUUGACAUAUUGUCAGUCAGAGAGGACUACUCAGAACUUAAAGGAUAUGUUCAGAGAUUGUGUGGGAUGGAAUUUUGGAAAGCAUCUACCCAUACCAGAGUUUGCCUACAUCGACAGCUAUCUUUUGAGUAUUAAAAAAAUUACUAUACGAGGGUUAUUUAUGGUAGACCCUAUAGUAUACCACUUUGUUGGACCAAAGUGGGGUAGUAAUAUGAGUUAGAACUAUUAAUGGUUUAAGAGACGGUAGAGCAGAGGACAUGCUCAAGGAUUGGCUUUCGGAAGCCCAUGACGUCAGAGCAUUUAUGCAGCUAAGCACCGUAAGGAUUUAGAGCUACAUAUGAGCACCUAAUAUACCUGAAAAUAAGGACAUUUCAGGAGGGACCUAAGACUCAGAAGAUAAAGGAGCUUAAACCGAGACACAUGGAAUUGUAUCCUUCGCUGGAGUGGAUUGGAUUAAUUGCUUGCAGUUACUUUAUCAGCAGUAUAUCAGCCUUCUAGUACUUGGUUCAUAUGACAGCAUUGCAAAAGUUAAGAAGGCGCUAUAACUAUUUUGCAGUAGACAUCAAGUGAGUUCAUAAAGAUUUUAUGAACCUUAUCAUCUAUUGGAGAUUUUGGAUCAUCAUGAGAAGACAGUUCAGGGAAUAUCGACUGUGUUUGUCCGAGUUCAUUGGGAGGGAGAUAAGACCCAGGAGGAGACCUGAAAGGUCGAGCGAAGAUUAGUAUUCGAGGUUUUGCUAUGAUGACAUUGGGCAUGUCAGCUUAUGACUUGAAUUCGGGGUCGAAUUCCUUGUUAGUGGGGGAGAAUUGUAAUGACCCACCUCCACUAUCUCCACCAUCUCCACCAUCCCCACCAUCCCCACCACUCCCACCAUCCCCAACUUCUUUAAAGAGAAAAGAGAGAGAGAGGGAGAGAGAGAGAGAGAGAGAGGAGAGAGAGGAGAGAGAGAGAGAGGGGGAGAAAGCUCACCAGAAGUCCUCGCCGGAGCCACCACAUGCCAGACCGUUGAGCUCGCCACCAGCAUCAUCCGCAACCAAAGGUAACCGGAAACCGCCAUAUUUUUGAGUUUAGUUUCGGCCGUUUUAGUAAAUCAACCGUAACUUCUUAACCGUUGCGAAUCUCGUGCAUCCAAGCCCAUCAUCGUGUUCCUCUCGUCGAGACGAAGCCGUAGACACCAAGCACGCCUCAAACGGAGCCCGGACGAAGCCGUACGCGCCUCCAGAAAACCGCCCUUCGCGCGCGCGUGAAACGCACGCGCCGCCGCCAGAAAUCGUCGCCACCGCAGCUCCGCCGCCGGACCACCGUCCGCCGCCGCAGCUCCGCCGUCGCCGCCGGCCAACUUUCCGAUUUGGAGUCCAUUUGAGCAGCUGGAGUUCAUAGAUAUCACUUAUUAUUGCUAAGGUGAGACAAACAAGUAUGUGAUAUUUGGACGGACUUGGUGCUAUUGGACUUUUCUUUCGGAUUUUAUUUGGGCAUGGGUGAGAGUUGUCGGGUUUAUGGGCUUUUAUAUUACGGGAUAUUGUUGGUGGCCCGUCGUCCUUAGUGUCAGGGAGACGGGUAUCACAUUGUUGUAUGAUGACGCGUCGGGGGUGACACGCUGUCCUCCAUAUAGGAGGUGACGGGUGUCACAGGACCUUUGAAUAUUCAAAGAAUACCUAAACUAUAUUAAAUAAAUGGGAAAAACUUUGGACCA